AGCGAACGCUGGCGGCAGGCCUAAAACAUGCAAGUCGAACGCCCUAGCAAUAGGGAGUGGCAGACGGGUGAGUAACACGUGGGAACGUGCCUUUUGGUUCGGAACAACACAGGGAAACUUGUGCUAAUACCGGAUAAGCCCUUACGGGGAAAGAUUUAUCGCCAAAAGAUCGGCCCGCGUCUGAUUAGCUAGAUGGGGGGGUAACGGCCCACCAAGGCUCCGAUCAGUAGCUGGUCUGAGAGGAUGAUCAGCCACACUGGGACUGAGACACGGCCCAGACUCCUACGGGAGGCAGCAGUUAGGAAUCUUGGACAAUGGGCGCAAGCCUGAUCCAGCCAUGCCGCGUGAGUGAUGAAGGCCUUAGGGUUGUAAAGCUCUUUCAGCGGGGAAGAUAAUGACGGUACCCGCAGAAGAAGCCCCGGCUAACUUCGUGCCAGCCGCCGCCGUAA
rnacentral:rRNA from 1 species